AUUCCCGUAGUAAUGGCGAAUGAACUGGGAAAGGCUCAAAUUUAAAAUCACAUUAGUGAAUUGUAGUUUAAAGGAUUCUAGUCUCACAGUAAUCACUAGUUAAGUAUUCUGGAAUGGAUCUUCAAAGAGGGUGAAAUUCCCGUAUUUACUAGAUAGAAAGCUGCAAAGAACUGUUAUCCUAUGAGUCGUGUUGCUUGUUAAUGCAGCAUUAAUCGGGAGGUAAAUUCCUUCUAAGGCUAAAUACAAGAGAGAGUCCGAUAGCAAACAAGUACCGUGAGGGAAAGAUGAAAGAGAACCCUGAAAAGGGGACUCAAAAGAAUGUGAAAUUGUCAAAAGGUAAGCGCUAAGAAUUGUUCGAAAUCUGGAUUUAAGCAAGGCAGGGUCCGCUCUAUCUGAUUAAAUCUGGGUGGCUAUAGCUUUUGUUUUGACUAUCAAGAAUUUUGGGAUAGAGAUUGUAGGCUUUGGCUUACCUUUUCUUGAACAUUAUAAUUGACCGUUGGAGCAAGAGUAAAAGUCUCACGAAAAGAAUUUCAAUAAAGGAUACUUUCUCUCAUAGGCUUGACUAGAGGAGUUAGGAGCUUUAUUGGUCUUUUUACGAGUUCUUAUAGUUAGAAGGUUCUAAGCGUCCCGUCUUGAAACACGGACCAAGGAGUCUAACAUAUAUGCAAGUAUAUGGGCAUGAAACCCCAGCUGCGUAAUGAAAGUAAUUUCAGGUAGGAUCCCGCAAGGGUGCACUAUCAACCGAACUUUAUGGAUUUGUUCAUAAGAUUUGAGUUGGAGC
rnacentral:rRNA from 1 species